AAGUCGUAACAAGGUUUCCGUAGGUGAACCUGCGGAAGGAUCAUUAACACGUAUCCACGUACCAACCAACUGUGCUUUGUCAUUCUAUCCCCUAUUCAUGUCAACACAUGGAUAGGACAAUACGAGACAAGGAGAGAGAGAGGGAAGUGUGAAAACACACUCUCACUCUUCUCUUUUUGUUUCAUUUCAUUUUCACUUUUUUCACCCCGUGAUACCCCAUUUGUUGUUUGCUGCAUGACAGUGAAGUUGAUUGAUUGAUUGAUUUGUUUCACAUCCUCUCUCUCUUCUCUUUCUUGCAUUGAUAUGAAAUAUUUUAUUUCAACUGCAUACAACUCUUAGCAAUGGAUAUCUUGGUUCUC
rnacentral:misc_RNA from 1 species